UGGCGGCAGGCCUAACACAUGCAAGUCGAGCGGUAGAGAGGUGCUUGCACCUCUUGAGAGCGGCGGACGGGUGAGUAAUACCUAGGAAUCUGCCUGGUAGUGGGGGAUAACGUUCGGAAACGGACGCUAAUACCGCAUACGUCCUACGGGAGAAAGCAGGGGACCUUCGGGCCUUGCGCUAUCAGAUGAGCCUAGGUCGGAUUAGCUAGUUGGUGAGGUAAUGGCUCACCAAGGCUACGAUCCGUAACUGGUCUGAGAGGAUGAUCAGUCACACUGGAACUGAGACACGGUCCAGACUCCUACGGGAGGCAGCAGUGGGGAAUAUUGGACAAUGGGCGAAAGCCUGAUCCAGCCAUGCCGCGUGUGUGAAGAAGGUCUUCGGAUUGUAAAGCACUUUAAGUUGGGAGGAAGGGCAUUAACCUAAUACGUUAGUGCUUUGACGUUACCGACAGAAUAAGCACCGGCUAACUCUGUGCCAGCAGCCGCGGUAAUACAGAGGGUGCAAGCGUUAAUCGGAAUUACUGGGCGUAAAGCGCGCGUAGGUGGUUUGUUAAGUUGAAUGUGAAAUCCCCGGGCUCAACCUGGGAACUGCAUCCAAAACUGGCAAGCUAGAGUAUGGUAGAGGGUAGUGGAAUUUCCUGUGUAGCGGUGAAAUGCGUAGAUAUAGGAAGGAACACCAGUGGCGAAGGCGACUACCUGGACUGAUACUGACACUGAGGUGCGAAAGCG
rnacentral:rRNA from 1 species